rnacentral:rRNA from 1 species
UUUAAUUUGAGAGUUUGAUCCUGGCUCAGGAUGAACGCUGGCGGCGUGCCUAACACAUGCAAGUCGAACGAAGCAUUUUGAAUGAAGUUUUCGGAUGGAUUUUAAGAUGACUGAGUGGCGGACGGGUGAGUAACACGUGGA